GAUGAAGAACGCAGCGAAAUGCGAUACGUAAUGUGAAUUGCAGAAUUCAGUGAAUCAUCGAAUCUUUAAACGCAUAUUGCGCUCUCUGGUAUUCCGGAGAGCAUGCUUGUUUGAGUAUCAGUAAACACCUCAACUCCCUUUUCUUUUUUGAAAUUGGAGCUGGACUUGAGUGAUCCCAACGCUUUCUUCCAAGAAAGUGGCGGGUUGCUUGAAAUGCAGGUGCAGCUGAACUUUUCUCUGAGCUAUAAGCAUAUCUAUUUAGUCUGCCUAAAAAACAGAUUAUUACCUUUGCUGCAGCUAACAUAAAGGAGACUAGUUCUUGUGCUGACUGAUGCAGGAUUCACAGAGACAGCUUCGGCUGACUUUGUAAACUCGAUCUCAAAUCAAGUAAGACUACCCGCUGAACUUAAGCAUAUCAAUAAGCGGAGGA
rnacentral:misc_RNA from 1 species